UACGUAGGUGGCAAGCGUUAUCCGGAUUUAUUGGGCGUAAAGGGAACGCAGGCGGUCUUUUAAGUCUGAUGUGAAAGCCUUCGGCUUAACCGGAGUAGUGCAUUGGAAACUGGGAGACUUGAGUGCAGAAGGGAGAGUGGAACUCCAUGUGUAGCGGUGAAAUGCGUAGAUAUAUGGAAGAACACCAGUGGCGAAAGCGGCUCUCUGGUCUGUAACUGACGCUGAGGUUCGAAAGCGUGGGUAGCAAACAGG
rnacentral:rRNA from 1 species